GCCUAAGACAAGCCUUCUUACCACUUAAUAAACCACCACACUUUGUUAUCCGCCAGAUAAAACAUUUCUAUAUUUUAGUAGAGGCGAUCAAAAAAAUCAUUAGCGCUUUAUAAUUAGUACCGCAAGGGACAGUUGAAAUAGAUAUGAAACAGCAUUAAAGCAACAAACAGCAGAGAUUAUGACUCGUACCUUUUGCAUCAUGGUCUAGCCAGUCCUCAUCAAGCAAAGUGAAACAUUAGUUUGACCCCCCGAAACUAGGCGAGCUACUUCGAAACAGCUGUAAGAGCCAACCCGUCUCUGUCGCAAAAGAGUGGGACGAUUUCCAAGUAGAAGUGAAAAGCCUAUCGAGCCUAGAGAUAGCUGGUUAUUCAGGAAAUGAAUCUUAGUUCACCCUUAAGUUUUAUUAUUAAAUGAAACAACUAUUUAAACUUACGUGUUAUUCAAAUUAGGCACAGCUUAUUUGAAAUAGGGUACAACCUAGAAUCACGGGUAAGAAAAUUCUUUUAUAUUAAGUGGGCCUGAAAGCAGCCACCUUUUAAAAAGCGUUAAAGCUUAACACUUACUACUCUUAUAAUUCAACGACUCACCACGAACCCUUUACCAAUACUGAAUUUUCCUAUAAUUUUAUAGGAGCAAUAAUGCUAGAACCAGUAACAAGAAGUUGCCCUUCUCCAAAAUGCAAGUAAAAGCCUAAACGGACUAACCAUAGGCCCCUAACGUUCUUGAACUUAAUGUAGUAACAUUACUAGAAAACACUAUAAACCUUCACGUUAAUCUUACACAAGAGCAUUACUGGAAAGAUUAAAAGAAAAAGAAGGAACUCGGCAAACCCAAGUCCCGCCUGUUUACCAAAAACAUCGCCUCUCGAUAAUUCAUGUGAGGUCCAGCCUGCCCAGUGACAUAGUUAAACGGCCGCGGUACCCUGACCGUGCGAAGGUAGCACAAUCACUUGUUCUUUAAAUGGGGACUAGUAUCAACGGCACCACGAGGGCUUUCCUGUCUCCUUUUUCCAAUCAGUGAAACUGAUCUCCCUGUGAAGAAGCAGGGAUAUACUUAUAAGACGAGAAGACCCCAUGGAGCUUUAAAUCCAACAAACAGCCCGACACACAUAACUCAUCUUAGUCAUCAAAGCAUGUUUGUUAGUUUUAGGUUGGGGUGACCGCGGAGUAAAACUAAACCUCCACGACGCACGGGAUUAGUCCCUUAUCUAAGAGCUACCUCUCUAAGAAUUAAUAUAUUAACGUAAAAUGACCCAAAUACAUUUUGAUCAACGAACCAAGUUACCCUGGGGAUAACAGCGCAAUCCAUUUCAAGAGCCCCUAUCGACAAAUGGGUUUACGACCUCGAUGUUGGAUCAGGGUGUCCCAGUGGUGCA
rnacentral:rRNA from 1 species